rnacentral:ncRNA from 19 species
UUCAUAGUGGUUCGUAACCCUCCCACUUGAACAACCAACAAUUGUUCGAAACAAAACUAGGAAAAU